rnacentral:lncRNA from 1 species
CGGGCCCCGCCCUGCACUAGGCGGAAGCCCCCAAAGUAUCAGCGCCGCUUCGUGGAGCCUGGCGACUGCUUUGGGAAGUCCUGCUGGCAGGCACUCUGCCCCUGGGGGUGUGCAAAGAGUUGUCCAGUUACCUUGAUCUUCUCACAGCCUCCUCCCCAGGGCACCAGGAGAGACCAGGAUUGGAGGACGGUAAAGAACACACUUCCCAGAGGAUUCUUGGAGGUGGCUUCCUCCAGGCAGUAAAUCUACAGCCCAGGCUCCCUGCAUCUUAUGGCUCCAAUCACUUUGGAUCUCAUCGUCGCCUGCACAUUGCCAUACACAGGGAAGGAGAAGAGAUGGAGAAGGCAAAGACUUUCUGAAAGCCGUGGCUAAAAGCUGGCAUGUGUCACAUCAGCUCACAUUCCAUUGUAGAGACGGGGUUUCACCGUGUUAGCCAGGAUGGUCUUGAUAUCCUGACCUCGUGAUCCGCCCGCCUUGGCUUCCCAAAGUGCUGGGAUUACAGGCGUGAGCCACCGCUCCCGGCCUGGCAGGCAUUCUUGAGGCAAACGGGAAAUGGGGUAAGUUACACAAUCGAUACAGCUCCGUCAUCGUGGUUUAAUUACUUUUCCACGUACCAUGUUUCCUGACAGGUAGAACGAUCAGCCUGGGCCUCCGUUUUUCAUUCUACAAAGAAUGAAGUGCAUGAACUGUCCUCUAUAGAAUUGUGGAAAAAGUUGUUUUUAUUGAGUUGUGGUUAUCUUUGUCUUCAUGGUCUAAUUACGGAAAUAAAUGCUUUUCCGAGUCUCCGGGGAUGGUCUGCCCUAGUCCAGCUCUCUGCAGUGUCUUUCUGGGUUUUUCCUCAGUGAACGGGAGGAACAUUGGCAGCACUUGUGGUCUGCACCAAGAACUGAAUCGAAUUUCCAUGUGUUAUUGAAUGUUCACAAAGACCUUGUACAGCGAGUGUUACUACCUCUGGUCAAUGAUUCAACUCAAGGCUCAGAAAAGUCAAGUGUCUUGUCCAGGGACACUUAGUCAGAAGUGAAUCCAAGGUUUAAGCUCAAGUCUGCCUAACUCUGAAUUUCACAGCCUUUUGCUACAUAUGGCGAAUAAUAUAUCCCUGAGCACUAAAGGCAGACUCCAAGGAUCUUGUCUCUGCAAUCAUCAUUCUGGCCAUAAUUUAUGAAAAGCAACCCAAAGUAUGUGAUGUAAUAAAAAGUACUAUCUAUGAGUUUACCCUUCCAAAAAUUGAACUGAAUUCUGAGCUCUAAAUUUGGAAUCAAAAGAACUUUUCUCUGCACUAAUCAUUUGGAACAUCACUUAAAGAAAACAACGAAAAACUGGUGUCCCCUGAGAGAAAGCAAUACAAAACAUUAUGCAUAAAGAAAUCCUUCCAAAAAAUAAACCAAAUCCAGUCAAAUCUCUAGUUUUGACUCCUAGCUUACCGGAAAUACGUGAUGGGAAAAAAAUGAAAUGACACCACUAUGAUUCAAUCAGCCAAAUCCAGCAUAUGCAAAUUUCUACCAGAUAAAUGGUUUAGUUUCUUCCCCAAACAAAUGGCACAAGGAAACGGAGGUAAGAAUGGGAUGCUGUUAUAGAUUUUAAAAGAUUUAAGAAAGUAUAAACUAAAUACACUAUGUGCAUCCUCUCUGAACGUGCUUCAAACAUAUCAAGGGGUCAAUGAGCAGUUUUGAAACAAUAAGGGAAUUUGAACACUGAAUGGUUGUCAGAAGAUAGUAAGAGAUCAUUAUUAAUUUUACUAGACAUAAUGAUGUUCUGAUUUUGUUUUUUUUUUAAAAAAAAAACAGUGUUAUUUCCUUUAUAGAUACAUCAUAUAGUAUUAACUAAUGAAAUGCUUUGAUAUCUGGAACGUUUAAAAAAUAUUCCCGAUGGAGUAAGUGCAAAGAAACAGGUAAGCAAAAUGCUGAUAAUUGCUGAAACACAGGAUGUGUACCUGGGGCUUCAUUUACUAUCUCUUCAUUUUCUAUUUUGAUAUUUGUUGGACAUUCUCAUAAAAAGGAAAGUUAUGUUUUAUUUUCUCAUAAGCUAGUAAUGAAAUAGCCCUACGUAACUGAUAUUGUAGAGACAAGAAUAGGUGUAAUAGAGCUUAAGGUUUUCAUUUAAAAAACUAUCUGUAGACUUCAAUGGAUCUUAGGUGGCAUCCAUGCAAUAACACUCGUGGAACAUGCAGGACAGGUGUGGAGCUCCAUCUUCACACAGUGACAUUUUUUAUGCUUCUGUUUUCCCUAAGAGUGGAGUGAGAGGAUGAUUAUUUUAUAUCAUGGACUUCUUCCCUGCUAUACUUUUUUUAAUUAUUUUACUUUCACUUCUGGGAUACAUGUGCUGAGCAUGCAGGCUUGUUUACAUAGGUAUACAUCUGCCAUGGUGGUUUGCUGCACCUAUCAACCCAUCAUACAGGUUUUAAGCCCUGCAUGCAUUAGGUAUUCGCCCUAAUGCUCUCCCUCGCCUUUCCCCCCACCCCCUGAUAGCCCCCAGUGAGUCAUAUUCCCCUCCCUGUGUCCAUGUGUUCUCAUUGUUCAACUCCCAUUUAUGAGUGAGAAUAUGUGGUGUUUAGUUUUCUGUUCCUGUGUUAGUUUGCUGAGAAUGAUGUUUUCCAGCUUCAUCCAUGUCCCUGAAAAGGACAUGAGCUCAUUCUUUUUUAUGGCUGCAUAGUAUUCCACGGUGUUAUAUGUGCCACAUUUUCUUAAUCCAGUCUGUCAUUGAUGGACAUUUGGGUUGUUUCCAAGUCUUUGCUAUUGUAAAUAGUGCUGCAAUAAACAUAUGUGUGCAUGUGUCUUUGUAGUAGAAUGAUUUAUAAUCCUUUGGGUAUAUGCCCAGUAAUGGGACUGAUGGGUCAAAUGGUAUUUCUGGUUCUAGAUCCUUGAGGAAUUGCCACACUGUCUUCCACAAUGGUUGAACUAAUUUAUACUCCCACCAACAGGGUAAAAGCAUUCCUAUUUCUCCACAUCCUCUCCAGCAUCUGUUGUUUCCAAAUGUUUUAAUGAUUGCCAUUCCACCUGGCGUGAGAUGGUAUCUCAUUGUGGUUUUGAUUUUCAUUUCUCUAAUGACCAGUGAUGAUAAGCUUUUUUUCAUAUGUUUGUUGGCCACAUAAAUGUCUUCUUUUGACUUUUAUGUGGAAACAAAUUUAACUGCACAGAGAGGUGAAAAUUAAUUAAUAACUUUUAAAGUAAUUCCCUAAGUUUCUAAGGAUCUAUAUGUUUCCAUCUGACUUUAUUUUAUUUAAGCUCUUGAUUGAUGCUGCAUUUGGAGCAGGUUCAUGAACAUGAAUAGAGUUAAUCUGGGACAGAUUUCCCUCAUUUGAUUUUUUCACUGUUUCCAUCACAGAACUUAUUUCAUGCUCACCAUGUUUGCAGGCAUUGAGCUUGGUACUGGAGCCACAGAGCUGGAUCAGACAGACUUGUGCAAAUAUUUCAGGUUUUUUUUGUGGGGGGGUCAUAUUUAUAGAUAAAUAACAGUAAAGAGUGACGGGUUCUUAUGAAAAUGCAUACACAGUGAAGUAGAGGGUGAAAAGGAGGGAUGUGUUCUAUGAGGAGGAAGAGUGAUAAGAAAGUGUAAGGGGAUGUGUCUGUGUCUAGACAUAUGUGUGUUCACGUGUGUGCGUGCUUGUGUGUACUGCAUGUGUAUAUGUGUGGCCAUGCACCUGUGUGCAUGUUCAUGUGUGUGUGUGUAUGUGUCUGUGUUGAGGACUAAAUUAAUUGGGCUUAUGGAAGCAGGGAGCCACUGAUAGGUUUAAUUAGAGACUGACAUGAUAUGAUAGUUUAGGUGGAUUUCUCUGGGGGCUGUGUUGAGGGACAGUGGGGAGGAGAGCUAGAAGGAAGAAAAGGACACAUGCAUAACAGAAGCAAUAUCUGUCUAUGGGAUGGUGGAAAGAAUCAGAAAAGACUUAAUAAAACAUGUGACACUUUAACUGAAUCUUGAAAUAGACAAGUGUUGGAGGAGGGAGUUGGACCAGAUACUUCAUGCAAAGGGAAGAAAAGUGCACAAACAAAAUAUGAGAAACAAGGCAGACAGGCAUUUUUUUAAAAUUUUCGCACCCACUGAUAGACCAGUGAUGCAUUCACAUCGUCUGCAUUCAUGAUCAACAAAAGUGCUUUCCUAGAACAUGAACCUCAACCCAAGUGUCGCCUCAAGUAGUGUAUGCAUGAACUCAAGCAUUAAAUUAGAAUUGAUUUUUUAAAAAACUCACACAAACAGAUGUAUUAUUUAAAAAUCUUUAAAGCAGGUUUAAACAGUUUUCAGGAUUAAAAGCAGCCACUAUUAGAAAGAACAAAAAUACAUUUGACAUAAAUAUAAGGAGCCUCAAUAGAACCUCCUGUACCCAGUCAUUGUCAAUGCCACAUCCAUUCAUUCACCAGCCCUUAUAUCAAUGCUUGCUGGGCUCACUUACCACGAUCAGCACGUGCAUGUCCUUAUCUGAAAGCUUGCCACUCAAAUGUGCUCAGUCUUACCUGUGUGGCUGGGAGUGUUGGGGAUUUAAUGUCAAGGGAAAGAAUCUUCCAUCAAUGAAUGAUGAAAGUUAGUUUUCACAACUUCCGGUCCCCUUGGCCCUCAUCAAAGGGCUCCAGGUGAGGUUUGGGCUCCUUGCUAUCCUCCGAGUUUCCACGGUAGUUUUAAGCACCAUUGCCCGUGGUAAUGGCUGACAUUGAUACUGCACUUUUUUUUUAUUUAAGAUGGAGUUCCCCUCUGCCACCCAGACUGGAGUACAGUGGCGCGAUCCUGGCCAUCGCAACCUCCGCCUCCCAGAUCCCUCCUACAACACAUGAGAAUUGUGGGUGCUACAAUUCAAGAUGAGAUUUGAGUGGGGACAAAGUCAAACCAUAUCAUUAGAUAGGACACUGGAGAAAGGCAAGAAAGAAAAGACAUCUGAAGAAUGAAGGGAGCCAAAGAAAUGCCAACAUUUUGCUUUUUGAAGAAAAGCUAAAUUAAAGUCAAAAUGGAUUUAUCAAUUUCCUUGGGUUCGUGAAUGUACAGAACUUUAUUAAGUUUAUAUCAAGACACUGAGCCAGGGGAAUUUGAAGUCACCCAUCCAGUGGUCUUAGCAUCUUUGCUCACACACUGAAUGACUUGAUGUAAAUGACUGAAUCAGACUUGUUUGCUUAUAGCUGACACCACCGAGCAAACAUAUUCUCUCUUUCUCUGGGACAACACCUGAUAUGGUCUGGCUCUGUGUCCCCACCCACAUCUCAUCUUAAAUUGUAAUCCAAAUUGUAAUCCCCACAUGUUGGGGGAGGGACCUCAUGGGAAGUGAUUGGAUCAUGGUGGUGGUUCCCCCUGUGCUAUUCUCGUGAAAGUGAGUGAGUUCUCAUGAGAUCUGAUGGUUUUAUAAGGGGCUCUUCCCCCUUCAUUUUGCACUUCUGUCUCCUGCUGCCUUGUGAAGAAGGACAUGUUUGCUUCCCCUUCCACCAUGAUUGUAAGUUUCCUGAGGCCUCCCCAGCCAUGCCAAACUGUGAGUUAAUUAAACCUCUUUCCUUUAUAAAUUAUCCAGUCUCGGGUAUUUCUUUAUAGCAGCAUGAAAAUGGACUAAUACAGCACCUAUCUCCCAGUAUUGUAUUUUCACAAUGGAAGUUUUAAUCCAGGGAUGUCUAAUCUUGUGGCUUCCUAGGCCACACUGGAAGAAGAAUUGUCUUGGGCCACACAUAAAAUACACUAACACUAAUGAUAGCUGAGAAGCUAAAGAAAAAUCACAAAUAAAUCUUACAAUGUUUCAAGAAAGUUUACGAAUUUGUAUUGGGCUAUCCUGGGCUGCGUGCAGCCAUGGGCUAUGGGUUGGACAAGCUUGGUUUAAUCCAUAGAUGGAGCAUUCUACACAGCUCCCUUAAAGAUGUUCCAGAAGUGCUGACUCUGUGUCAGGCACCAUGUUCACCACUUAGAUGUUCGUUUAAUCCUUACAAAAGAGCCAUGGAGCAUGGACUGUUACUGUGGCAGAUGUGUUAGCCUCCUGUGGUUGCCAUAACAAAAUACUACAAACUGCGUGGCUUAAAACACCAGGAAUUUAUUCUCACUGUUCUAAAAGACGGAAGUCCGAAAUCCAGGAGUCAACAGGGCUGUGCUCCUUUUUGAGGCUCUAGGGAAGAAUACUUCCUCCCCUCUUCCAGCUUCUGCUGGCCACAGGUGUUCCUCGGCUUGUGGCCACAUCACUCCAAUUGCUGCCUCCAUCCCACAUAGCCUUCUUCCCUAUGUGUGUGUUCUCACAUGGUCUUUGUAUAAGGAUAUCAGUUAUGGGAUUUAGUUCCUACCAUAAUCCAUCAUGAACUCUACUGCACUAAUUACGUCUACAAAGGCCUUAUUGCCAAAUAAGGUCACAUUCUGGGGUUUCAGGUGAAUAUAAAUUUUGGAAGGACACUAUUCAACCCAGUACAACAAGUAAAAUUUAAAAAGGCACCCUUUUACCUUGGCAUGUUAUCUCACUUGAUUUUUAUAACAGCCCUGUAGAUUAAACAGAUAAUAUGUUAUAUUCCCACUUCUAGAUAUCAUCACCCAUUAUUUGAGAGAAUGGAAAUGAAGUUCAGGGCUGUUAACACUCCUGCCACUGAAACAUCCCAGGCCAGUGACCUUUUCAUGUCUGACCUAACAGGUGGUUUCCAACCACAGUUACUUGUGACAUCAUUCCAUCACUCCCCAUACACAUUCCCUGUAGAUCAACUUAUCUGGCCCUACAAUUAUAGUUACAGGGAAUUUUACAUUCUUCAUCUUCCACAGGCAACUGAAUCUUCUGGGACAAAAAGCAUAUGUUCUCCCAUAGUAAUAAAAUUUCCCUUUUUUAGCCUGGCAUGUGACUGCCAAUAAUAACACUUCCCAGACUCUCAGGUGUCCACGUCUAUCCAAAGGGAAAUAUAGUCAGUGAUAACUUCCAGACAUAGAUGAAACAUGCCACACCUUAUAGUCACUUUAUGGGGUUCAUUCUCUCUUCCCAUAGACUGUCAUGCUGUCAUCAUGGCUGGAUCUGAUACGGCCACCGUGGACCUUGAGGUGACCUCGGGAAUGGAGACAGUGCAUGGGAGAGAAUCACAUUGGAAGGGGCCUGGGUUUCUGAAGACCCUGUAAGACAGAUCUCCUUGCAGCCCUGACUGCCCACAUUAGGGCUUUUAUGUUAGGGUGAAGUUACCUUGCAUUGUCAUAUAAGCAAUUGCUAUUUGUGGUGUCUUGCAAAUAAACCUAUUCUGAUCUAGUAUGUUUCCUAAAAAACAAAAGUUUGAACCCAGCUCUUUACGUGUUACAUGUUCUGAAUACAAAAAUAAGACCCAGUUUCUGCCCCCUAGCAGGACCCAAAACCCCUCAGUGAAGGCAUACACCAUAGGAAUAAUCUCACAAGUACUUU